AUUCCAUGGUGAGGGCAUUUCGAAAGGACGUCCUUAAAUCACUCCAUAAAUUUGGAGAACGACUCACUAGGUUUCUACCUGAAUUAAAGAAUGUCACUCCUGAGUUU